rnacentral:rRNA from 1 species
UACAGAGGUCUCAAGCGUUGUUCGGAAUUACUGGGCGUAAAGCGCACGUAGGCGGCUAUUCAAGUCGGGGGUGAAAGCCCGGGGCUCAACCCCGGAACAGCCCUCGAAACUAGAUAGCUAGAAUCUUGGAGAGGUCAGUGGAAUUCCGAGUGUAGAGGUGAAAUUCGUAGAUAUUCGGAAGAACACCAGUGGCGAAGGCGACUGACUGGACAAGUAUUGACGCUGAGGUGCGAAAGCGUGGGGAGCAAACAGG